UAUUAGGAAAAAACCUUUCCCGGGUUUGCCACCCCCGGGAACAUGUAGGAAAACGGGGUUCCUUUUGGGGCCGUGCACACGGGGGGCAUGGCUGUUUUCUGCUUGUGUUUUGAGAUGUUGGGGUAAAUUUCGCAAAGAGCGCAAACCCCGUUCCCUGUUUCCCCCGCGUAAAGUCGGGGACUCAUGGGAGACUGCCGGGGACAAAUCGGAGGAAGGUGGGGAUGACGUCAAGUCAUCAUGCCCCUUAUGUCCAGGGCUUCACACAUGCUACAAUGGCCGGUACAAAGGGCUGCGAAACCGUGAGGGGGAGCGAAUCCCAAAAAGCCGGUCUCAGUUCGGAAUGGAGUCUGCAACUUGCCUCCAUGAAGUCGGAUCCGGGUUAAUACCCU
rnacentral:rRNA from 1 species